UACCAGCACCCCGAGUGGUCGGGACGUUUUAUUGGGCCUAAAGCAUCCGUAGCCGGUUCUACAAGUCUUCCGUUAAAUCCAACUGCUUAACAGGUGGGCUGCGGAAGAUACUAUAGAGCUAGGAGGCGGGAGAGGCAAGCGGUACUCGAUGGGUAGGGGUAAAAUCCGUUGAUCCAUUGAAGACCACCAGUGGCGAAGGCGGCUUGCCAGAACGCGCUCGACGGUGAGGGAUGAAAGCUGGGGGAGCAAAGCCGG
rnacentral:rRNA from 1 species